GGUUGACUGAAUGUUUUCUGGACGCGGGUUCGACUCCCGCCGUCUCCACCA
rnacentral:tmRNA from 1 species